rnacentral:rRNA from 1 species
UACAGAGGUCCCAAGCGUUGUUCGGAUUCAUUGGGCGUAAAGGGUGCGUAGGCGGCGCGGUAAGUCGGGUGUGAAAUCUCGGAGCUUAACUCCGAAACUGCAUUCGAUACUGCCGUGCUUGAGGACUGGAGAGGAGACUGGAAUUUACGGUGUAGCGGUGAAAUGCGUAGAUAUCGUAAGGAAGACCAGUGGCGAAGGCGGUCUCUGGACAGUUCCUGACGCUGAGGCACGAAGGCCAGGGAGCAACGG